rnacentral:rRNA from 1 species
GAUGAACGCUAGCGGCAGGCUUAAUACAUGCAAGUCGAGGGGCAGCACGGUUAGCAAUAACUGGUGGCGACCGGCGCACGGGUGCGUAACACGUAUACAAUCUACCUUAAACAGGGGGAUAGCCUUUCGAAAGAGAGAUUAAUACCCCGUAAUAAAUUGAACGGCAUCGUUUGAUUUUGAAAGCUCCGGCGGUUUGAGAUGAGUAUGCGUCUGAUUAGCUAGUUGGUGAGGUAACGGCUCACCAAGGCGACGAUCAGUAGGGGAUCUGAGAGGACUAACCCCCACACUGGUACUGAGACACGGACCAGACUCCUACGGGAGGCAGCAGUAAGGAAUAUUGGUCAAUGGAGGCAACUCUGAACCAGCCAUGCCGCGUGCAGGAUGACGGCCCUAUGGGUUGUAAACUGCUUUUAUACAAGAGAAAACCCUGGUACGUGUACCAGGUUGAUAGUAUUGUAAGAAUAAGCAUCGGCUAACUUCGUGCCAGCAGCCGCGGUAAU